ACAGACUGACAUCUUUUCUGUUGAAGCUGUGCACCUUGGAUGUUUGUACAAGAUUGUUAUAGGACAUAAUGGGCUUGGAUCAGGAAAUGGAUGGUUUCUGGAAAAAGUUGUGAUCAAGGAUCCUGUAACAGAUUUGGAUUAUACUUUUCUUUGUCACAGGUGGCUGGACCAGGGACAGGAUGAUGGCAGUAUUGCUAGAGAACUGCCUGUGACAGAUGCCAGCACAUUUCCAGGAA